rnacentral:rRNA from 1 species
GAGGUUACUGCUAUCGGUGUUUGCCUAAGCCAUGCGAGUCAUAUGUUUUUUGUGAACAUGGCGUACUGCUCAGUAACACGUGGAUAACCUGCCCUUGGGACCGGCAUAACCCCGGGAAACUGGGGAUAAUUCCGGAUACUGCAUAUAUGCUGGAAUGCUUUAUGCAUAAAAUGGAUUUGUUUGCCCAAGGAUGGGUUUGCGGCCUAUCAGGUAGUAGUGGGUGUAAUGUACCUACUAGCCAACGACGGGUACGGGUUGUGAGAGCAAGAGCCCGGAGAUUAAAUGUGAGACAUGAAUCCAGGCCCUACGGGGCGCAGC